rnacentral:rRNA from 1 species
GAUGAACGCUGGCGGCGUGCUUAACACAUGCAAGUCGAACGAAGCACCUUAUUCUGAUUUCUUCGGAAUGAAAAAUUUGGUGACUGAGUGGCGGACGGGUGAGUAACGCGUGGGUAACCUGCCUCAUACAGGGGGAUAACAGUUAGAAAUGACUGCUAAUACCGCAUAAGACCACAGCACCGCAUGGUGCAGGGGCAAAAACUCCGGUGGUAUGAGAUGGACCCGCGUCUGAUUAGGUAGUUGGUGGGGUAACGGCCUACCAAGCCGACGAUCAGUAGCCGACCUGAGAGGGUGACCGGCCACAUUGGGACUGAGACACGGCCCAAACUCCUACGGGAGGCAGCAGUGGGGAAUAUUGCACAAUGGGGGAAACCCUGAUGCAGCGACGCCGCGUGAGCGAUGAAGUAUUUCGGUAUGUAAAGCUCUAUCAGCAGGGAAGAAAAUGACG